UGCCAGCAGCCGCGGUAAUACAUAGGUCGCAAGCGUUAUCCGGAAUUAUUGGGCGUAAAGAGUUCGUAGGUGGUUUUGUAAGUCUGAAGUUAAAUACCGGGGCUCAACCCCGGCCCGCUUUGGAUACUGCAAAACUAGAGUAAUAGAGAGGUUAGUGGAACUCCAAGUGAAGCGGUGGAAUGCGUAGAUAUUUGGAAGAACACCAAUGGCGAAGGCAACUAACUGGAUAUUAACUGACACUGAGGAACGAAAGCGUGGGUAGCAAACAGGAUUAGAUA
rnacentral:rRNA from 1 species